GGUGGGGUUCCCGAGCGGCAAAAGGGAGCAGACUGUAAAUCUGCCGUCAUCGACUACGAAGGUUCGAAUCCUUCCCCCACCACCA
rnacentral:tRNA from 1 species